AACAUUUCUGGGGGUUUUUAGGCUCUGGGCACUGUGCCGAAUUUGUUAUGGAUGGUAACUCUUUGGCUAGUUUCCAUCUGAGUUGGAAGUCGAACCAGGGCAGGCUGAACGGAAGGCAGUAUCUGGGGGAGCAGCAGAGUCCUGGGGAGGGAGGUAAAUGACACCUCAGAAUUGUGAGGACUUUGUUGUUCUCCCCAAGGUGCUUCUGAAAUGUCCCUCAAUCAUUUUAAUCAGAGGCAAUAUAACUUUGGGGUCAGAGGACCAGAUGUAUUCUUCUUCUUUACAUUCCCUUCUCUUUCUCCUUCCAAUGGUUAUUUAAAGACCUACAGUGUAUGAGGCUCUGUGCUGGCCAUAGGGAAGUGUAGAACCAGACAGGCAAGGUUCCUGCUACCAUGGUGCUUCCAUCCUGGAGAUGGAGACACAGUUAAUGAACCAAAUAAAUGAGCAAGAUGAUUUUUGGUGCUAUGAAAGCUAAAUAGGGUGUCAGUAACACUGUGACUGGGAAAGAAGGGGCUUUAUUAUAUUGGGUCAUUGCGAAUGACCACAUGGAGAAAGUGAUUUUGAGGCAAGAUCUGAAUUCUGAAGUAAAUGUUCAAGUCUUAGUGCUACCACUCAUGAGCUGUAUGAGUUUGGGCAGGUUACUCAGUCUCUCUGAACCCUAGUUCCCUCUUCUGUAAAAUGAGGCCAUAGCUACCUUUCUGGGUUUCUGUGAAAAUAAAAGGCAACACAUGUAAAGCAGCUGACAUCAGGAAGGACCCUGUAGAUGCUCACAAAAACAUAUGGGACUGAUUUAAGCCCCUAGAUCACGCUUCCUGUCUACACUGAUGUGAAAAUAUCAGUGUUGGUGCAGAAAUGAAAAAGAAGAAGCUUCUCCUCCCACACACCACUCAAGCUUUCAUCAACAUGGACAUCCACAAGCAAUGGCUCUUCAUUCAGCUACUUAAAUAAAAGCUCAAAAGCAUUGGCA